GCUUAUGGCCAUAUCACGUUGAAAGCACCAGUUCUCGUUCGAUCACCGAAGUUAAGCAACAUCGAGCCUAGUUAGUACUUAGAUGGGUGACCGCUUGGGAAACCUAGGUGCUGUAAGCA
rnacentral:rRNA from 1 species